rnacentral:rRNA from 1 species
UGGGGAAUAUUGCACAAUGGAGGGAACUCUGAUGCAGCGACGCCGCGUGAGUGAUGAAGGAAUUCGUUUCGUAAAACUCUGUUCUAUGGGAAGAAAAGGACUGUACCAUAGGAGAAAGCUCCGGCUAAAUACGUGCCAGCAGCCGCGGUAAUACGUAUGGAGCGAGCAUUGUCCGGAAUUAUUGGGCGUAAAGGGUGCGCAGGCGGCUUUACAAGUUGGAUGUGAAAUAUUGUGGCUCAACCACAAACGUGCAUCCAAAACUGCAAAGCUUGAGUUAAGGAGAGGUAAGUGGAAUUCCUGGUGUAGCGGUGGAAUGCGUAGAUAUCAGGAGGAAUACCGGUGGCGAAGGCGACUUACUGGACUUAAACUGACGCUCAGGCACGAAAGCGUGGGGAGCAAACAGG